rnacentral:rRNA from 1 species
UUGGAGGGCAAGUCUGGUGCCAGCAGCCGCGGUAAUUCCAGCUCCAAUAGCGUAUAUUAAAGUUGUUGCAGUUAAAAAGCUCGUAGUUGAAUUUCGGGAUUAGUACGCUGGUCGUGCCUUCGGUACGUACUGGUGUUACUGAUUUCUACCUUCUGACGAACCAUCAUGUCAUUAAUUUGGUGUGGUGGGGAAUCAGGACUGUUACUUUGAAAAAAUUAGAGUGUUUAAAGCAGGCUCGCGCUUGAAUACAUUAGCAUGGAAUAAUGAAAUAGGACGUUGAUCCUAUUUUGUUGGUUUCUAGGAUUGACGUAAUGAUUAAUAGGGAUAGUUGGGGGCAUUAGUAUUCAAUUGUCAGAGGUGAAGUUCUUGGAUUUAUUGAAGACUAACUACUGCGAAAGCAUUUGCCAAGGAUGAUUUCAUUAAUCAAGAACGAAAGUUAGGGGAUCGAAGACGAUCAGAUACCGUCGUAGUCUUAACCAUAAACUAUGCCGACUAGGGAUCGGAUGAUGUUAAUUUUUUAAUGACUCAUUCGGCGCCUUACGGAAAC